GACGACUGGGCGCUUCCCACCCGGCAGCCUCUCUGUGCGCCCGCCGAGCGCGCCGCCUUUAUUGGGGGCUGGCACUGCGCAGCCCCCGCCCCGUCCCGUCCGGCCCCUCGAGGCGACGACCGGGAAACGAAGCCCAACGAAAUGCAGCGGAGUGCGGCGCGGGGCGGGCGCUGUCCUCCGAGCGUGAGGCGCGCCGGGCCGGGCCGGGCUUGAGACUGGCUGGCCGGCGAUCCGCGCUUUUCCGGGGCGCUUCCGGGCCUUGCCGGCCGGCAGCAACAAGAACAGAACGCGGCGGAGCCAGAGACGGGCACGCUUGUGGCGCCGCUUCCUCGGCCCCCGCCGGGCUGCGGAAAAACUGCCACAAACGCGCCACGCGGCUGUGUGUGCCUGUCACACAGGCGAACUCGUGUUCCGUCUCGCUCCGUUUCUUCCGCACAACGGGCCGGCGAGGUAGGCCAGGCGGCGCCCCCCCCCCAGUGUCCCUUAGGAGGCUCUCGGCGGAGACAAGAUCAGAACCCAGCGCCGCGGCUCCCAAGCCCGUUCUCGGCGUGGAACACGCCCUGGCCGAGAGACAGAGAGGCGGUGAGAGGCAAAAUCCGCGGUUCAGGCGCCUAGAUUUGGUCUCAUUCACGCUGUCGCUAUUUCUGUUACGUAUUUGCAAGGCUGGGAGCUUUCGGGAUCCUAAAAUAGUGGAAGUUUGAACCAAGAAAGUCCCCUCCCUGGAUUAGAAACCUGCAAAGUUCGGUUCAUACUGAAAAAAAUUGGCAAAUAGUUUGUAUUCAAAACUGUUUGCAUUGAAUUGAACAUGAUGUUUGAGCAUAUAGAAAUUCAAGCAAAUCAAAAAUGAAUGAUUCGACUGAACAGUGUUUUUGCACUUGGAAAGGACUUUUUUCGUUGGAAAAAUUGGUAUGUUUUCCUUUUGAACAAGUUCAAAAUCGAAUGUAAACAACUGUUUGUUCAAUUUAAUGGUUUGCUGUUAAGCCAACAGAUGGGUGUUUGGUUUGAUUUUAUAUUAAACGCAGGAU
rnacentral:lncRNA from 1 species